AACGCACGAGACCUGCGGACCUGCGGAGGGAUCAUUCAUAAUAAAAGUGUUUAUGGCACUUUUAAAACAAUCCAUAUCCACCUUGUGUGCAAUGUUUUUCUUAUUAACACUUUAUUUUAUAUCUUUUGUCUGAAAUAUUUUAUGAAUUUUACUUAAUUCGAAAAUAUAACUUUUAACAACGGAUCUCU
rnacentral:misc_RNA from 1 species